UUACGGAAGGCAGCAGUGAGGAAUAUUGGACAAUGGGCGCAAGCCUGAUCCAGCCAUGCCGCGUGCAGGAUGACGGUCCUAUGGAUUGUAAACUGCUUUUAUACAGGAAGAAACCCUACUUUGCGAAGUAGAUUGACGGUACUGUAAGAAUAAGGAUCGGCUAACUCCGUGCCAGCAGCCGCGGUAAUACGGAGGAUCCAAGCGUUAUCCGGAAUCAUUGGGUUUAAAGGGUCCGUAGGCGGUUUAAUAAGUCAGUGGUGAAAUCUUGUAGCUCAACUAUAAAAUUGCCAUUGAUACUGUUAGACUUGAAUUAUUAAGAAGUAACUAGAAUAUGUAGUGUAGCGGUGAAAUGCUUAGAGAUUACAUGGAAUACCAAUUGCGAAGGCAGGUUACUAUUAAUACAUUGACGCUGAUGGACGAAAGCGUGGGUAGCGAACAGGAUUAGAUACCCCUGUAGUCC
rnacentral:rRNA from 1 species